rnacentral:lncRNA from 1 species
CGCCAGACAUUUCUGCGAGUUGAUCUAUUCUGAUACAGGCACGGUGGCCUUGCUCAGAGCAAGGUUACGGCUGAGUUUUGGGUUGGUGUAACUGCUGUGUGAGCGGAGGCUGUGUGAGCCAUGGGGUGAGUGGCUGUGACAGCCGUGCAUCAGGCGCAGGAGCUGCAUCACUUGUGCUAAACUAGGUUGUCCCUCAUCGCCCAAAGGCCUCACCUUGUGUGCAGUCUUCUCUUAGGAUAGAAGUGUCUGAAAGCUGUGCCUAUAUGUUUCCCCACCGUGUGGGGUAGCUACACUAGAAUGAAACAACCUUAUACCAGGCUAAUUUCCUCCAUCCUGCCUUUUAAAGUAGUUAAAGCAAUACACUUCUGUGCAUAGGCAAGACUUGACAUUCUUUUCAUGCUUGGAAGGUUUUAUUCACAGCUAUAAAGGCCAGACAUUUUAUCUUUUUUUCCUUUGUUUAAUGAAAGCCUGAGUCCCAGAGAAGAAUCUCAGCAGCUUCAGAGCUGUGCUGUGCAAGGGGACCUGAGAAACAGACGUAAUGCAUGUUAUAGAUCAGUUAGGAGUUACAUCCGAGAAAUCUUUUUUCAUUAAAAUUGGCUUGUCUUGUCUCCACAGCUCCCAGUGGCUGGCAUUUGACUGUGCAUGGCAGCUUUUUUAUUCAUGAGCUAAUACCAGAAACUGCCUCAGAGCAAAAUCUAACUGGGUGCAGCCUCAAGGCACAUCACAGAGUUCUUCCACCCGCUCCAGUUUUCCUGACGUGGCCAUCACUCCUGCACACAGAUUUGGAUCCAGCACUACCCCAGACGCAGAGCUGGUUGGAAUAAACACCUAGCUGAGGGCUGGGCCCUCCACUGCCAAAUGUGAGGUUGGCCAGCUGCAGUUGGUGGGGCCGUGGUGCUUUUCACCACUGACAGUUGUUAUGCCCAUGAGUUUGGAUCCAUUCCCUUCCCUUUUGCUUCUUGAGAAUCUGCAGCAUCCACAUUGGCUCCUGCUAUUUUGCUCUGAGACCUUGUGAGUCUGGAGGAUUGAGGGACAGUGUUGGCCAUGGAGGGAACAAGACGGAGAGCCCAGAGGAGCUGUGGGAGCUGUGGCAACAUGGGGACAGCACACCAGUGGCCUCUGUGUCCUUUCUUCUCCAACUCUCUGCCCCUGGAUUUUUACAUGCCCUAGGCUGUUGCUGUCCCCUGUGCAGUGGGCACCCUACUUCAGCUGCAGCCACUGAGAUACCAUGGCUAAAUACACCAGCAAUGGGGUUGAUAAAUCAUGGCUGCAUAAUGUCUUGAAGGACUGGCCUUCACUAGCCUCAUCGCUGCUGUUCUGUUCCCCAGCAAAACACGUGUUCUUAAUGACUUCUGGCAUUUUUGCCACCUGGUAUUUUGUCCUCUGAACACUGGGUUUUCCCCACCUCUCCCAGGAACAGGUUGGCAGCUGGGUCACCUGGGUACAACUGCUUGCAGCACUUUCCUUCUCUGACAUUUCUAUUCCCUAUCAACCACGCUGGAUCAUUAAGAUGUCUGUAACUUAGAUCAUUAAUUAUUAUUUAUGCAGAAACUCAAUUAACACUGUGAAAACUUGAAAAAUUAUGGUCCUAGCUGAAAAGUUUUCUUUUCUGGGUUCCUGACACACUUGUCAGUGAGUUGAGCAUACUCAUGUCACUUCCUUGCUGGCUGUCCAUUUGUGCUCUCCAUCUCAGUUCUUACCACCGUUAGACUCUUCGUAAGGAAGAAAUGUCA